CCUGGCUAUGAGAGAAGUCAGCGGUUGGAACUGGGGUGUCUGGCUUGCAGCCUGGGCUUCAGCCCCACGUCCUUUCCAAAUAACCCUGGGUCACAGGUGCCCAUGGUCUCCUGACCCAGAGGCGCGGCCUAGCCUGCACUUGUUUGUCCCCGGGCAUAGGCCCUGGUGCUGUGUCCUGGGAGGCCCCGCCUCACUCUCACGUCCCCACACCCGUGGGCACUGCCCUCUACCGCAGCACCUCUCCCUCCACGGCAUGAUGGCGAGUAUCCUCAGAGGCUGCGGAAGGUUCUGGAGACCCAGGGCGGGAGCAGAGCCUCUGAUUGGCCACAGAGCCGCCGCCCCGUGAUCACCGUCGCGCUGCGCAGGGAGGCCGAGGCCCGGGUCGGGUCGGCUGCGCCGCCUUGGAACCGGGAAGCACCUUCGGGAUGAAGCAGCCGCGACCCGAGCUGUCUUCCGACGGGCCCGCUGCGGCACCGCGCCUGUCCUCGGAGCCCGGCCCCGCCGGCCGCGAUUCUGUUCCAGCAACGCCGGGAGCUGGAGCCCCGCGCGGGAAUCCAAAGCAGAUCCGGCCCCUCUCCUGUUUUCUGUCCUUUCUGUCCCGGGCGCAGCUCCCACCCCAGGGCUUUGCCAUUUACCAGCACCGUGGAAACUGGGCUCUUCCCGUGGCUCAGGGCUGCCUUUCCUGACCCUUUGUGCCCCACUCGGCUCUUCCUCAAGGAGGAUGGUGUGUCUCCGGGGCCUGGUCGGCCCCCCAGGCUCCAGCCCCGACCCAGUCCCCAGGGCACAGCAGCAGAGCUGAAUAAAGGCGGUGCCGUGCUGAUUGCUGCACUGUUCUGUGCGCUGAUUCCUGCCUGGGUUCCGUGUAGUCCUCCCACCCAGCCAGGGGCAGUCGCGGGUGCGGGAGGGAGCUGGAGGCCAGGAGGCUGCUGAAGGGGCUGCACGGCCUCCCCUCCCCUCCCAGGCUCAUGGGCAGCUUAGGUGGGGACCUGGCAUCUGUGGGGUUAUGGACACUCGGCGGACUGUAAGAGGCCAGGCAGGAGCUAAAGGGACAGAUUG
rnacentral:lncRNA from 1 species